rnacentral:rRNA from 1 species
GAUUGGACAGGGCGCAGCUCGAUCAUUAUGCCGCGUGCAGGAGAAGGCUUCGGGUUGUAAACUGCUUUUGUCAGGAAAGAAAUCUUCUGGGUUAAUACCUCGGGAGGAUACGGUACCUGAAGAAUAAGCACCGGCUAACUACGUGCCAGCAGCCGCGGUAAUACGUAGGGUGCGAGCGUUAAUCGGAAUUACUGGGCGUAAAGCGUGCGCAGGCGGCUUUGCAAGACAGAGGUGAAAUCCCCGGGCUCAACCUGGGAACUGCCUUUGUGACUGCAAGGCUAGAGUACGGCAGAGGGGGAUGGAAUUCCGCGUGUAGCAGUGAAAUGCGUAGAUAUGCGGAGGAACACCAAUGGCGAAGGCAAUCCCCUGGGCCUGUACUGACGCUCAUGCACGAAAGCGUGGGGAGCAAACAGGAUUAGAUACCCUGGUAGUCCACGCCCUAUACGACGUCAACUGGUUGUUGGCCGGUUUGCUGUUCAG